CCAUGGGGAGGGAAAGACGCUCCCCGCUCACCCGGAGCCCUGCCGCCACGCACGCAGAGCUCUGGGGGCCGAGGCUGCGCGCUCCCGCAGGGCAGCUUAUCAGGCUAUGCGUGGAGCCUCAUGGAACAUAAGAACGGUUAUACUGGGUCAGACCAAAUGUCCAUCCAGCCCAGCAUCCUGUCUGCUGACAGCAGUCAAUGCCAGGUGCCCCUGAGGGAGUGAACCUAACAGUUUUCCUGAGGGAGAUUCUCCCCUCCUUAAAGGCUUUAUCAUCCUCUCUGCAAAAUACCAACAUUUGGAUCCCAAUGCUGCAGCUGCGACAUGUGCCAGGCUUCUGGGAGUUCUAUACACACAAUGGCUACAGGAUCAAGCCCUACAGUUGCAUCUUGCCCACUCUUCGAACGUUUAGAAAUGACAGCAAGAAAUGAAACUGAGCUGUAUGCUUUGCUGCCCUCACUGGGCCUACAGUAGCUUCCCACUAUCUCCUAACCUUCAGGUCAUUCUUCUUGAAUACUUUUUAUUAAUAGCCUUUUCUCUCUCUAUGUAAUAUUAAUCCCUUCAGGCAACCAUGAUGACCCCUGGUUGCUCUCCCAGACAGAUGCAUUGGUCAAGUCCAUUUUGAGAAGCGGGGGAAGGAUAAAAUCAAAAAUACAGCCUGGGAUUUACUGUACUUACAUUUGCUGCAGGUGAAAGGCACUUGCUAAUUAAGUCUGCACUGGGGUCAGACAA